UUAACUAUUUAAUAGUACUCAGACGACACUAACAUUCAGAGUUUAGGGGUCCUCUGGCGGGCGCGCUCGACGCGAAUCGAGGCGUGCUAGGCACGCAGCCCGCCAAAGCAACAUUCUAUAAUGAUACACAAGGGUGGGAGAUCUACCCCGAAGGGCAUGAACUCUGUAAUGAUCCUUCCGCAGGUUCACCUACGGAAA
rnacentral:misc_RNA from 1 species